GAUGAACGCUGGCGGCGUGCCUAAUACAUGCAAGUCGAGCGAAAAGACGAGGAGCUUGCUCCACUGACGUUAGCGGCGGACGUGUGAGUACCACAUGUGUCCCCUACCUGUAAAACUGGGAUCACAUCGUGAACCCGGAGCUCAUGUCGGCUGAUAUAUUGAACGGCAUGGUUAACUGGUGAAAGUCGGUUUUGCUGUCUCUAAUAGAUGAUUCCGUGCCGGAUUAGCUAGUUGGUAAGGUAACGGCUUACCAAGGCAACGAUGCGUAGCUGACCUGAGAGGGUGAUCGGCCACACUGGAACUGAGACACGGUCCAGACUCCUACGGGAGGCAGCAGUAGGGAAUUUUCCGCAAUGGGCGCAAGCUUGAUGCAGCAACGCCGCGUGAGGGAUGAAGGUCUUCGGAUCGUAAACCGCUGUUAUUAGGAAAGAAAAAAUUUUGAAUAAACCCUGCACGUGAUGACGGUACCGUAAGAGAAAGCAACGGCUAACUACGUG
rnacentral:rRNA from 1 species